rnacentral:rRNA from 1 species
AUUGAACGCUGGCGGAAUGCUUUACACAUGCAAGUCGAGCGGCAGCGCGGGGGCAACCCUGGCGGCGAGCGGCGAACGGGUGAGUAACAUAUCGGAACGUACCCAGUCGUGGGGGAUAACUAUCCGAAAGGAUAGCUAAUACCGCAUACGUCCUGAGGGAGAAAGCGGGGGAUCGCAAGACCUCGCGCGAUUGGAGCGGCCGAUAUCGGAUUAGCUAGUUGGUGGGGUAAAGGCUCACCAAGGCGACGAUCUGUAGCGGGUCUGAGAGGAUGAUCCGCCACACUGGAACUGAGACACGGUCCAGACUCCUACGGGAGGCAGCAGUGGGGAAUUUUGGACAAUGGGCGCAAGCCUGAUCCAGCCAUGCCGCGUGAGUGAAGAAGGCCUCGG